GGGAGCUUUACCGGAGGGUGGGCCCCACGCAGGCGGUAUCGGUGCUCUCAAUCUCCUGCAAGAUCCGUUCAUGCUCCGGGACGGUGCCCAGACCAUCGCCAUUCUCCGCCAUCUUGGCUGGAAGCUGAGAAGCCGUUCCCCAUGGAGUUCUGCAUGUGGCUAAGAGAAAGCUGGAGAGGUUUUGAAACCAGACAAUACUGAAGCUCUGGAGUAACUGGAAACAAUUCAGGAUGAGUUAGAAAGGAGCAUGCCAAACAGGUCUGAGCAUAAGCUGACUGCAUCUACAAGGAUUGAGGCACCUGGUGUUAGCAGAUAAGAAUUGCAGGUUCAGCUCUUGAGAGAAGAAAAUAAACCUUUUGAAAAAUGAGCCUGAAACCAAAACAUAUGAAAUGAAGACAAAUUUUAUAUCUUCCUACAAAGAGAAGAGGAAGCCAGCUCCCUCCACAGGAAAUGGCAGACCAUCCUAGCUCAGUCGGUAUGCAUGGCUAGAAUUCAUUAUUCUGAAGAGUAAAGCAAGGUGAAGAGAGCAGCGCAAGUGGUAUAGGCUGCCUUCUUAUUUGGCGACUGUUUCCUGAUGGAACAUUCCUUUUCUGACCAUUCAUUACCCAAGACCUUCUCCUCUUCUCUUCACCAAUGCUGACAUCAUCUACCCAAACGCAGCCCCUAUUCUGGGAAGCCAGCCCCGCUUUGGCACUCCUCACUCCAGGCCUGUUUCAACACCUGCCCAUAGAGAUUACUUCAACAUAAGCAGCAGUAUCUUCCCCUCAAUUCAAGUCAAGACAGAAGGAAGUCCAUAUACCACUUCUCCUUCUGAAACAGCUUUUGCUGCUUCCCUUUGUGACUGCUGACAGUUCUGUUAGCACCUGAAGUUUUUUGCUAAGAAUUUAAAGCUAAAUGUUCUAGAUAACUAUACAAAUUUUAACUUCAGACACAGAUAUAAUACAUAAAUGUACAAAAAUGCCUAUUCUAAGCUAUACAUUUCUAAAAUAUAAAGAAUUUCAGCUAUAGGCCAAAAUAAAAACAUAAUAGCUAUAUAUUGAACACUACUUGCUAAGCCCUUUAUAUCAUCUAAUUUAAUCUUUACUAAAUCAGUAAUUUAACUGGGAAUUUAAUUAGUACUAAUUUUAUUGAAAUUUAAUUUAAACCUAGGGGGAUACUUUCAAUAUCUCCAGUUUAAUAUGAGGAAACAGACUUACAGAAAUUAAGGCACUUGUCUGGCGCCUGGGGUGGGCUCCGUGAGAACAGCAUCUGCCUUUGCCUCAGGUCAUGAUCCCAGGGCCCCAGUCCCAUGUCAGGCUCCCUGCUCAGUGGGGAGUC